GAUCCAGGUGUCCUCUAACUUCUUCUCCAGUAGGACCAGAUACUUAUUUAAAAAUUACCAUUUUCAUGAAUAUGCAAAUCACUUGAAUCUAUGGUGGUAAAUACAGAGAUGUCCACAUCACCCCCAACUUAUGAUCAGUAUCCUCUCUACAGCAACUGAACACACAGGUCCUUACCAUGGGAAGGAGCUGGAUCAUCCUCUUCCUUGUGUCAGUAACUACAGGUGUCCAAUCACAGGUCCAGCUGCAGCAGUCUGGGCCUGAGCUUGGGAAACCUGGUUCCUCAGUGAAGUUGUCAUGCAAGGCUUCUGGCUAUACCUUCAGUAGCUACAACAUGGACUGGGUGAAACAGAGGACUGGGCAGGGCCUGGAGUGGAUUGGAUGGAUUCAUGGUGGAAGUGGCAGUAACAGCUACAAUCAGAAAUUCCAGGGCAAGGCCACGCUGAGUAGAGACAUAUCCUCCAGCACAGCCUACAUGGAGCUCAGCAGCCUGACAUCUGAGGACUCUGCCAUCUAUUUCUGUGCAAGAGACACAGUGGUGCAACCACAUCCUGAGUGUGUCAGAAACCCUGGAGAAGCAGGAAGCUUCACAAGAAUGGAGAUGACAGAGAAGGUCAGUUGGGGAGUUGCUCAGAAAUAA